AGCCCGGGGCAGAUGUUGCGAGCGGCCUGGGAGGAGGCAGGAGUCACUAACACGCUGCGUGUCUCCCCAGGGGCUUCUUUGGGUUUCUGCUGCGCAGGAAGUGCCUGUCGAGGGAGCAGAAGGAUGGCGACUCCUGCCUGAUGCGGCCACUCUGGCUCAGGGACAUGUACAGACCUCUGAAAACCUCCAAGAGUCAUCACAAGAAGCAGGAAGACACUGAUGAGGAGACUGAACUCAGGGGGGUUAUUGUGGACCGCAGAGAAGCCCUGAUGGAAGGGACAGCGCCAGAGGAGUCGGCGGAGGUCGACAAGGAGACGAAGUGACCCCAAGGGGAGUAGGCUGUAUGGUGACUCCAACUAAAAAAAAUAAAAAUAAAAAACAUCUCUUACAAGCA